rnacentral:rRNA from 1 species
GAAUAUUGCACAAUGGAGGAAACUCUGAUGCAGCGACGCCGCGUGAGUGAUGAAGGCUUUCGGGUCGUAAAGCUCUGUCGCAGGGGAAUAACACAAUGAAGGUACCCGGUAAGAAAGGAUCGGCUAACUUCGUGCCAGCAGCCGCGGUAAGACGAGGGAUCCUAGCGUUGUUCGGAAUCAUUGGGCGUAAAGCGGGUGCAGGUGGCUAUGUAAGUCAGAUGUGAAAGCCCAGGGCUCAACCCUGGAAGUGCAUUUGAUACUGCGUAGCUUGAGUGCUGGAGAGGUUACUAGAAUUCUUGGUGUAGUGGUGAAAUACGUAGAUAUCAAGAGGAAUACCGGUGGCGAAGGCGGGUAACUGGCCAGACACUGACACUCAGACCCGAAAGCGUGGGGAUCAAACAG